CUGCCCAGGAAUCCUGACGCCCACUGUGAAAGAACAUUUCCCUUCCAAGGCUGGAUGUUCAGUGAAACAGUGGACAUCACCUACUUACAUAGUGACCAUCAUUAACCAUUCUCCUACGUAUGGUUCCUGUAAACGGCCUCUUUAAGCUUCUGAUUGCCCAAAUUGUACACAGCUCCUUUCCUUGUACAGGUUGUUCUCCAAGGGGAAUAAGCAGACUGGCUUUGCCCAUCUGGCAUCCCCUCCCCACACCAAGGCCCAAAGCCCAACGUUCAAGGUCACAGGCUGAUGUAUGACAUCAUUUAGACCAGGCUGGGGCUUAACUGGUAUUGUUGAAACAUUCACACUCCUAAACUGCAAAUGUAAAGUCUCUGUUGGGGAACUGUGACAUCCUGCCUGCUGGUCAGUCUUCCAUUAGCACUAUGGUCAUUUCAGGACAGGGUUGGGAGGCAUUUGUAUUAGUGGCCCACUAUCAUGGCAGGCAUAGUUCCAUGGGCAGAGUGAAGACACACUGUUGCCUCCCUUUCUUAUCCCCAAGACAAAGGGAGCCACAAAUGACUGAAAGUACACACAGCAGGAAUUAAAAUGUAUCUUUUCUGUUGUUUUUCUUUUAGGCAGGGUUUCUCUGUAGCUUUGGAGCCUGUCCUGAACUAUCUCUUGUAGACCAGGCUGGCCUCAAACUCACAGAGAUCUGCCUGCCUCUGCCUCCCGAGUGCUGUGAUUAAAGGCAUGCACUACCACUGCCCAGCAAAAUAUACCUAUAUUGAUGUACUAAAAAGGUAGUCUGUUUUCAAAAAGUGGAAUGUUCUGAAGGCAAAUGCACAAAAAUUCCUUUUCCUCAGAACCAAGAAGCAGAUCCAGUUCCUGGGACCUGCAGAGGCUCACACUUUCUCCUCCUCUGGAUUCUCACAGCUGAGCUGUGCCUACUGAUACCUUCCUCCCCUCUGUGAGGAGCAUCUGGGAAAGGCCCUGGUGUGCUCUAGGGAGUCCAGGGGCAUGUCAGGGAGGCUGUGAGGAUGAAACAUGUUGGGAUGAGGAACCGCGCCGUGGACUGUGCUCAAGUCCUCUGGUGAUGACCUACAGCCCCAUGCUCUUGGGGCAGGCACACGAUCUGCCUGAACCUCAGAUUUACAGCUUCCAGGAUGGAGUGUGAAGUCUGCGCCUCAACAACUUAUAAACAGUGAAUAUCACCAGGCUGACCAACUGACAGUGAUGCCUGAGUAGCCCAUGUGGACCUGUGUGCAGUUGAAGGAGGUGGGCAAGCAGGAGAGCCUCGGAGGAAACCCCAGGUCAGGUGAGAGGCGGAUGACAGAACGGACCCACGGGAACUUGGAGGCGGUUCUGGAAACCCACUCCUGGCCGCCAAUUACAGACAAGGACAGACAUCCACCUGUUCUGACAGUCACGUGGCCAUUUUUGAAAGAACGAACCGACUCACCAGGCACCAAGUGAGCCUCCUGCCCCGCCCUGAGGGAGGAAGCCCAACUGAUGCUUUGAGCCUCAGCCUACACAUGGUGCCAGAGAGAAGCCAUUCAGCAACAGUUCGGAACUGUGUCUACGUAUCUGAGUGUGAAAGGCAGAAGAUCCUGGGUCCAGUCCGCCAGUGCUGAACACAUAGGAUUUUGGUACCAGCUCCUGAAGAACAGUAGCGCAUAGCAAGAUUAAAACAUCAGUUCCCACAAAGCACCGAGGGGAAUGCCUGGCCCACAAUCAGCAUGGCAUGUUCGCUACAGGGAGGGUGGCUUCCAGAGUGGGGGGCUUUCACUGCCUCAGGCUGGGCAGGAAAAUCAGACUCAAAUGCUUUUCUUUGUAAUAGCAAGUGCCAUGGGCUCCAGUGGGGCAAAUUCAUGGCUUAGCCCUUGGGCAGCAACACAAGGCUGGGUUAGGUCAGAAUGAGCUCUUGACUGCAGCAGUGGAUGGAGUCCUGGAUGGAAAUGGAUAAUAAUGGACACGGGCCUCAGACCCAUGGCAACGGCCAAGCCUUCUUCUGGUUGAAGUCUGCAAGUUUAACAAGGACUGACCAGUGUAUGAGAAUACCAACAACGCUUCUCCCUCCUCCUGGGUGACGGAAAUCUGGGACUGCUCCCCGACAGAGACCCACACCAAGACUAUUUAGCCACAGCUCCUUGUGUUGUGAGUAAUAAACUAGGAUUCCAGGUGGCAUAGUAGGUGCCCACCUGGUCCAGCUCUUCUCUAUGUGCCUCUGCCAUUUCUUCAAUGGCUGUUGCUCCUGUGGUACCUGGGUCAGGCUUCCAGGACCAAGUCACACAGGACGUGGAGAUUAAGAAAGAGAAAGGGGUGGCAUGAUUCAUCACUUUCCAGACGUCCUGGAGUACUGUGUGAUUUCCCCAAAAGUUACCUUGCAGGUUGACCUGUCUCACU